CGUGGGUUGCUAGUAGAAGAGCUGUAAUGUUCUCCUACCGCGUGCUGCAGGCCCUGCUGUUGAGUGAGGGGGAGCAGGGGAUCCCAAUGGCCUGCCCUGCCUUUGCGCAGCAGCCAGCGGGCGGGUACGUCGCGGCCUGGCCGAGGGAGGAGAGCGCGGUCCCCAGUCGAGCUGGGUGAACUAUCAUUGCACACUGUAGAGUUUCUGGUGCCUCUUCUUGGAACUCGGCUAGCGGCGCCACAGCCCCUGCUAACUAAUCGCGACAUCACAACUGUGAGUGGGGUUGUGCGAGUGACUGUAAAAUGGGGGAAUUGUAAGACGUUCAUCGCUGUGUUAUCCUUGAGUAAAGGCUGGAGCGCAACACCAGGAUCUCCCUGCAGCAUCCGCCGUCAGGGCUCGAGUGGUCUUUCCACCUCAGCCUCCUGGGACUACAGGCACGUGCUACCACCACGCCUGGCUAACUUUCAGUUUUUUUACAGAAACGGGCUUUUACCUUGUUGUCCAGGCUGGUAUCGACCCCUGGGCUCAAACAGUCCUCCUGCCUCUAUCUCCCAAAGUGCUGGAAUUACAGGGAAUGUGAGCUCUGGAAGCCCAGCCAGGGACAAUGCUCCUUCCCAGAGAUUCUGCACUAACCUGAGUGAAGGCCUAAGGUUUGGAACCUCCCCCUCGUGGAAAGAAGCUUUGUAUGGCUGUCAUGCUUAGACAAUGAUUCCUGCGACUUGACCUUCAGGCUGGGAGAGGUGGAGAGCCAUGCCUGGUCUCCUUCGUUGCUAUGGAAUUUGCUGACACAAAGAAUAUCUUCUGCCUGGUGCUGGGCAUAUCCUAAGAACUGACAACUUUCCUGUAUUACCCUGUGUGAGCAGCUGUCACCUUUUUGGGGGAAGAAUGGCUGAAAAUUAGGGGGCACUUCAAGUAGAGAGCUUCUAUUUCCUGUAUUUGUCUUAUAUACAAGUAUUUGCUUUUAUCAAAAUAAUUCUAAUAAAACAAAGUAAA